CCUACGGGUGGCAGCAGUGAGGAAUAUUGGUCAAUGGACGAGAGUCUGAACCAGCCAAGUAGCGUGAAGGAUGACUGCCCUAUGGGUUGUAAACUUCUUUUAUAUGGGAAUAAAACGUUCCACGUGUGGGAUUUUGUAUGUACCCUAUGAAUAAGGAUCGGCUAACUCCGUGCCAGCAGCCGCGGUAAUACGGAGGAUCCGAGCGUUAUCCGGAUUUAUUGGGUUUAAAGGGAGCGUAGGUGGAUUGUUAAGGAAGUUGUGAAAGUUUGCGGCUCAACCGUAAAAUUGCAGUUGAAACUGGCAGUCUUGAGUACAGUAGAGGUGGGCGGAAUUCGUGGUGUAGCGGUGAAAUGCUUAGAUAUCACGAAGAACUCCGAUUGCGAAGGCAGUUCACUGGACUGCAACUGACACUGAGGCUCGAAAGUGUGGGUAUCAAACAGGAUUAGAUACCCCAGUAGUC
rnacentral:rRNA from 1 species